AGGAGCUGGAAAUUGUUAUUGGAGAUGAGCACAUUUCUUUUACCACAUCAAAAAUAGGUUCUCUUAUUGAUGUAAAUCAGUCAAAGGAUCCUGAAGGCCUUCGAGUAUUUUACUACUUGGUACAAGACCUAAAAUGUUUAGUUUUCAGUCUCAUUGGAUUACACUUCAAAAUUAAACCAAUUUAAAUUUUAUGUUUCUGAAGCUGUUUAUAUAUUUGAUUAAGGGAUGGGUAAAGGAGGGUUUAUUUGUCACUUACAAUAUUGGGAAUUUUAUGAAUGUGAAGCAAAUAAAUUUUUUUGUAUGUAAACUGAAAUAGGAAAAUACAUAAACAAGCUUAAUGAUCAUCCUUCCUUGGGUCCAAGUGGGUUGGACACUCCCCCCACACAUUCAAUUCUGUAAAUAAAAGCCACCUUUUGUUGAAAAUUUAUUCUAAUAAAACAUAUCAAAGCCUAGAUGGA